AUACCAUCAAUGCUCUGACUUUCAGCCCUAACCGCUACUGACUUUGUGCAGCCACAGCACCCAGCAUCAAGAUUUGGAACCUGGAGGGUAAGAUCAUUGUAGAUGAGUUGAAGCAGGAAGUGAUCAGCACCAGCAGUAAAGUAUAGCCCCCACAAUGCACCUCUCUGGCUUGGUCUGCUGAUAGACAGACCCUGUUUGCUGGAUACACUGAGAAUUUGAUCAGAGUUUGGCUAGUCACCAUUGGAACCUGCUAAAGCACAAUUAAGACCUGUCUCCAAGUGCCUAAAGACCACGUGUCUUCUCAAAUAUACCAGCCUGAGACAUCUUUCAACAAAGUUUUCAAUAACUUUUAAAUCAUGAAAAAAAUAA